GAACGUGCCCAGUCGUGGGGGAUAACGUAGCGAAUUCUACGCUAAUACCGCAUACGACCUGAGGGUGAAAGCGGGGGAUCGCAAGACCUCGCGCGAUUGGAGCGGCCGAUGGCAGAUUAGGUAGUUGGUGGGGUAAAGGCCUACCAAGCCUGCGAUCUGUAGCUGGUCUGAGAGGACGACCAGCCACACUGGGACUGAGACACGGCCCAGACUCCUACGGGAGGCAGCAGUGGGGAAUUUUGGACAAUGGGCGCAAGCCUGAUCCAGCCAUACCGCGUGCGGGAAGAAGGCCUUCGGGUUGUAAACCGCUUUUGUCAGGGAAGAAAUCUUCUGGGCUAAUACCUCGGGAGGAUGACGGUACCUGAAGAAUAAGCACCGGCUAACUACGUGCCAGCAGCCGCGGUAAUACGUAGGGUGCAAGCGUUAAUCGGAAUUACUGGGCGUAAAGCGUGCGCAGGCGGUUCCAUAAGACAGAUGUGAAAUCCCCGGGCUCAACCUGGGAACUGCAUUUGUGACUGUGGGGCUAGAGUACGGUAGAGGGGGAUGGAAUUCCGCGUGUAGCAGUGAAAUGCGUAGAUAUGCGGAGGAACACCCAUGGCGAAGGCAAUCCCCUGGACCUGUAC
rnacentral:rRNA from 1 species